CCUACGGGCGGCAGCAGUGGGGAAUAUUGGACAAUGGGGGGAACCCUGAUCCAGCGACGCCGCGUGAGUGAAGAAGUCUUUCGGUAUGUAAAGCUCUAUCAGCAGGGAAGCAAGAAAUGACGGUUCCUGACUAAGAAGCCCCGGCUAACUACGUGCCAGCAGCCGCGGUAAUACGUAGGGGGCAAGAGUUAUCCGGAUUUACUGGGUGUAAAGGGAGCGUAGACGGCGAUGCAAGUCUGAAGUGAAAGGCGGGGGGCCAACCCCCGGACUGCUUUGGAAACUGUAUGGCUGGAGUGCGGGAGAGGUAAGUGGAAUUCCUGGUGUAGCGGUGAAAUGCGUAGAUAUUAGGAGGAACACCAGUGGCGAAGGCGGCUUACUGGACUGUAACUGACGUUGAGGCUCGAAAGCGUGGGGAGCAAACAGGAUUAGAUACCCCUGUAGUC
rnacentral:rRNA from 1 species